rnacentral:rRNA from 1 species
GACGAACGCUGGCGGCGUGCUUAACACAUGCAAGUCGAACGGUAAGGCCCUGCUUUUGUUGGGUUCUCGAGUGGCGAACGGGUGAGUAACACGUGAGUAACCUGCCCUUGACUUUGGGAUAACUUCAGGAAACUGGGGCUAAUACCGGAUAGGAGCUCCUGCUGCAUGGGGGGGGUUGGAAAGUUUCGUCGGUUGGGGACGGACGCGCGGCUUAUCAGCUUGUUGGUGGGGUAGUGGCUUACCAAGGCUCUGACGGGUAGCCGGCCUGAGAGGGUGACCGGCCACAUUGGGACUGGGAUACGACCCAGAGUCCUACGGGGGGCAGCGGUGGGGAAUAUUGCACAAUGGGCGGAAGCCUGAUGCAGCAACGCCGCGUGCGGGAUGACGGCCUUCGGGUUGUAACCCGCUUUCGCCUGUGACGAAGCGUGAGUGACGGUAAUGGGUAAAGAAGCACCGGCUAACUACGUG